CCUACGGGUGGCAGCAGUAGGGAAUAUUGCUCAAUGGGGGAAACCCUGAAGCAGCAACGCCGCGUGGAGGAUGACGGUUUUCGGAUUGUAAACUCCUUUUGUUAGAGAAGAUAAUUACGGUAUCUAACGAAUAAUCACCGGCCAACUCCGUUCCAGCAGCCGCGGUAAUACGGAGGGUGCAAGCGUUAUCCGGAAUCACUGGGCGUAAAGCGCGCGUAGACGGGAUAGCAAGUCAGAUGUGAAAUCCUAUGGCUUAACCAUAGAACUGCAUUUGAAACUGUUAUUCUAGAGUAUGGGAGAGGUAGGUGGAAUUCUUGGUGUAGGGGUAAAAUCCGUAGAGAUCAAGAAGAAUACUCAUUGCGAAGGCGACCUGCUAGAACGUAACUGACGCUGAUGCGCGAAAGCGUGGGGAGCAAACAGGAUUAGAUACCCGUGUAGUC
rnacentral:rRNA from 1 species